ensembl:lncRNA
GGGCUUUCUCUGCAAGCACAACAGAUGCCUGGAAGUGACGUGCCCGCUCCAGAUACUUGUGGGAGGCAAGACUGAAAGGCCCAGCGUGGCUGGUGGUCAGAGCCACAGCGCUGCCAAGCAGAUCCUGGAAGGUGAGCGUAUGGGAGAAUCAAUUGUUUUCAGCCUCCAGAAUGUGCUAGAUAGCCAUGGAGUUUGAGAGUGGGCCACGAGAGAGACUCACACCUCAUGAGCUUCAUCAAAUCUAUGACAUUCUGAAUUUGCAGAAGCUGAGGGGACAGUGAGGCUCUGAAUCUGCAGAAGCUGACUGUCCCUGAAAGCUGAAAGUGAUGGAAACAAGGUUGGGGGCUUUCCAAGUGGGUGCCUGGCGUGGCACGUUCCCUGUAAAACAGAAGCACCUGAACUUCUGUGCAUACAAUAGAGAAGAAGACAGAAGAGUGGAGGGACAGGACCCCGAGCUCUUUUGCAGACCACAGCCUUGUCCCUGAGAUCCAGGAAAACAGAAAGGCGCGGAAAAGAACCGAGUCAGGUCAACUGUUAAAAAUUAUUUAAUAGAAAGUCCAAUGUCAAAAUGUAACAAUAAACAAAAAUACACAUGUAUAAAUAUGUAUAUAUAAUUAGACCUGUACACUUUCUCAGACCCUUUUCAAAUUAAAC